GGGUGAUCGUUGGACUAUAAGAGUGGCGAGAGAGAGAGAGAGAGAGAUGGUGAGGCAAGAUAAUUUACAAGUUGUCAAACGAAUAAUACGGAAUGUAUGAAUCUGACUUUUAGCGCAGUCGUAGAUCUUUGGUUCUAACGUGCCUUUGGGCUCAUUCGAUAUCUCUCUGUGAUAUCCAGUCUAGCUAGCUAGCUAUGUUAAUUCAAUCCCACAGGAGUGGGAGAAAUUAAGAGGAAGAGCUUAAGUGGAUCCACGGGGGAUUACUCCUAACCCAACCCACGGCUUACCUGCUGUUGCUGAUGUGAGUUGGCGGGAUUGUUCAUGCGCAUGGCUGCAGCGAGGUUAACGACAGCCGCCUGAACCACGGCGCUGCCCGGUCCAGCAGCCACAGCGGCAUCGAUGGUGCCAUCCUGCGACCUGGAGCUGGCGGAGGCGGCAACAGCAGCAGCCGCAGCAGAUGCGGCAGCCAUCAGAGACAUUCGAUUAGCAUGCAGCUCGGCGUCCAUGCUGCCCUGCUCCUGAUCCGAGGUGGAUGACGAGGAGAGGCGACCAUUCGAGGAGCACUCGGAG